rnacentral:misc_RNA from 1 species
AACGCACAUUGCGCCCCGUGGUAUUCCGCGGGGCAUGCCUGUUCGAGCGUCAUUUCACCACUCGAGUCUGACUCGGUAUUGGGCGCCGCGCAUCGCCGCGCGCCUCAAAGUCCCCGGCUGGGUGGGCCCGUCCCCGAGCGUUGUGGUUUCACAGUCUCGCUAGGGAGCACGCGCCCGCCGCAUCGGCCGCUAAACACCCCCAUCACAGGUUGACCUCGGAUCAGGUAGGGAUACCCGCUGAACUUAA